rnacentral:misc_RNA from 1 species
GAAGACAGAGAAAAUGAAGGGGAUUUAGUUAUGGCUGCAUCCAAAGCUACACCAGAAGCAAUGGCUUUCUUUGUGAAGUAUGGAACAGGGAUAGUUUGUGUGAGCAUGACAGAAGAACACUUGGAGAGGCUACAGCUUCCGUUGAUGGUAAACGAUAAAAAGAAUGAGGAGAAACUUUGUACAGCAUUCACAGUCUCAGUGGAUGCGAAACAUGGAACGACUACAGGAGUAUCUGCUCAUGAUAGAGCAACGACAGUAUUGGCACUUGCGUCCGGAGAUUCAAAGCCUGAGGAUUUCAAUCGACCGGGACAUAUCUUUCCUUUGAAAUACAGGGAAGGCGGGGUUUUAAAACGAGCUGGACAUACUGAGGCUUCUGUGGAUCUUGCCGUGUUAGCUGGCUUAGACCCUGUUGGAGUAAUAUGUGAGGUUGUGGAUGAUGAUGGUUCCAUGGCUAGAUUGCCUAUGCUUCGUCAAUUUGCAAAAGAACAUAACUUGAAGAUCAUAUCAGUUGCUGACUUAAUCAGAUAUAGGAGAAAAACAGAUCAGCUGGUAGAGCAUGCUUCUGCUGCAAGAAUACCUACAAUGUGGGGCCCGUUUACUGCCCACUGCUUCAAGUCAAUAAUAGAUGGAAUUGAGCACAUUGCUAUGGUUAAGGGGGAUAUAGGAGAUGGACAAGAUAUUCUUGUUCGGGUACACUCGGAAUGCCUCACAGGAGAUAUAUUU